AGUCCAUUGUGAAGACACUUCUGAAGCAAGUCCCAAAUCUUUCCCAUACUUCAUAUAAUGACUCGAUAUCGUAUUGACUAAAACUAGUAAUGUCCAUCCUAAGAUU